AUUGAACGCUGGCGGCAUGCCUUACACAUGCAAGUCGAACGGCAGCACGGGUGCUUGCACCUGGUGGCGAGUGGCGAACGGGUGAGUAAUACAUCGGAACGUACCUUAUCGUGGGGGAUAACGCAGCGAAAGUUGCGCUAAUACCGCAUACGCCCUGAGGGGGAAAGCGGGGGACCGUAAGGCCUCGCGCGAUUAGAGCGGCCGAUGUCUGAUUAGCUUGUUGGUGAGGUAAAAGCUCACCAAGGCGAUG
rnacentral:rRNA from 1 species